GCCGGGUGUGGUUGGUGGUGCACACCUGUAAUCCCAGUGGCUCAGAAGGCUGAGUCAGGAGGAUUGCAAGUUGGAGGCCAACCUCAGCAACUUAGUGAGGCCUUAAGCAACUUAGUGAGAACCUGCCUCAA
rnacentral:sRNA from 1 species